GGUGAAAUGCAAAGGCAGAAAAAAAAAUUGAGGAAAAGGGGAAAAUCGUAAGAAUUUAUGUUUAAAAUGAUGAAAUUUAUAUUAAUACAAUAAUCCCAAACCUCGUUGGUACUAAAAAUAACAGGUAAAUAUUUGUGUCGAAAAGUACGGGAAAUAUCAACCUUGUUUAUCUCCCUUUAUUUCCUUCUCGCUGUGACGUCAUGUGAGUCCUUUGUUACAUUGGUAUCGAAUACAUGUGUUAGAACGUAAACUUGUAAACAACGUUAACCGGCUAUGGUGUUUUGUGUUGCAUACAACUGUACUACUGGAUCAGGUCGGGGAUAAUGUUUGUUUACAUUUCCGAAAGACCAACAAAGACGAAAGAUUUGGACACGAAAGGUGAAGAGGCAAAAUUAAACUUCGUUAAACGGAGCAUUCCAGAUUAUGACCCCAAACACUUGGAUUUUGUUGAUCAAUUUGUUAUUGGUGCAAUGAUUGUCUCGUUCAUGACAUUCACACCAAAUCAGAAUAAGACUGAAAGCAAAUGUUUUGACUUUAUUUGUCUUUAGUAUUAUGACAUAACGGCAGGAACAGACCCCUGCCCUUCUUGCAGGGAGCCAGCCCAAGUAUGCAUCUGUAGUACAUAGCCAUGGCAUAGGAAAAUGACGGAGAUGAGAGGUAUUAAUGUGCAUGAACUUAUGGAAGAAUCCUUCAUACACAAGUGGCUUAGAUAUACAAUUGUAGCAACAGUGGAUAAAAGACUGCCUGAGCCACCUCUGCUAACAGAUCAGGCAAACAGACAAGAAAAGGAGACCACUCAUAAAUAAAUUAAACAAUAAAUAAAUGUGAUAAAAUUUUAUUAUCAAUAUGGUUAAUAUAAA